GGAGGGGAGGGGCGGGGAGUAGAGCUGCCUGGGGAAGAAGAGGGGGAACGCGCUCAGCUCGGGGUUGUUGUGCGUGACGUUGUCUGCUGCUCUCUGAGGCUACGGUGGGGUGGUGCGGGAACAACGCCCGGUACUUUGGAAUGCAGAAAGCUUCCUCUUCCGGCAGCCACGACCGAGAUGCUUAGAGCUCCAAGGCUGCCGACCCUCGCCUGCCAUCCUUUCCUCAGCCUCCGAGGUUUCGCACCUCCGUCGCGCUUCUGGCCGGUCCAGCGGACCCCUGAGCAGAAAAGGCGCGCGACCUAGUCUGGACUUUGCGUGCGGGGGCCACUGGCCUGCCAGUGCAGGGCCGCGAGGGGUGUGGGCUCAGAGUUUGGCGGCGCGCGGCUGGUGGAGAGCCCUGCCCAAACACUCGCCACAGCUUUGACCUCCAGCAGGAAAGGCCUCGGCCAGGAUCUUCGGGCGGGCAGCCGCCUUCAGCGUUUCUCACUACCCUAACGAUAGGAUUUAAGCUCUAUCUGAACGCCUAGCAAGUUACACUAAAUGAUUUCAAGUGGAAACAAUCUCAAGCCUGUAUAUACAGAACCCUUGACACUGAGAAUUCAUGGCUUGUUCAUGGCUGGCACAGAGAAGAGUGUUUCCUUGUUCCCUCAGAAGCCUCCAUUUGUGGACACAGGUGGCUGCCAGCAGUUUUCCUUUCAGGUAAAAUCCAUUCAGGUAAAAAUCCAAGAGAAUAAAGAAAAUAUCUAUAUCCCAGCAGUCCCAGGGGGGAAAAAACAAACAAACAACUCUUGAUUUUAAUACCAGUAGAAUUGUUAGGCCUUGGUCCCCCACCUAGUGAUCCAAUCAUUGUGCCAGAGUUGGGAGAGCUAUGCUAAUCUAUGUAAACCAUUAAUGGCCCACCCCUGGAACUAAGGAUGGGAUCAAUCCCAUGUAAGCCAUAUGCUUGAAAUUCAAAACCCGGUCAGGAUGGCGGUAGAGGGGAAAUGAAACACAAUAAUGAACAAGUGUAGUUCUUUCACUCAAGAACCUUACAGUCUAGGAAGAAAAAAACAGAAUUUGACUGGAAAUUAACUAUUAUUGUAAUUAUUAUGAUUACCAUUAUGAUAAAUACUAUGAAAAUGCUAUGAUGUGGGCAAGUACAGAAUGUUGUGGGAAUACAAGGAAAGACAACUAAUCCUUUGGGAGACAGAUGCAGAGAUAAUCACUACAUAUGUCCACUUACAUGUAUCCAUGGCAGUUAUAAAGAUUUGGGGUCAACUGCACAGAGAUGGUACUUGAAAUCAGAGUUAGAUGAGAUUACCCGAGGAGAUGAGGUAACAUGAGAAGAAGCCCUAGAAGAGAACCCCAGGAAACACCAAAAUUAAAGGCUGGACAAAGGAAAAUGAGCCUUCAGAAGAAAUGGAAGAGAAAGAGCUGGAGAUUGGAUGAAAGCCUGGAGAGUAAUGUUUCUAAGAGAUCAUUCCUUACUAGAGGCUUUCAAGAAUAGAGCACUAUCAUUAGCUGGGAGAGAGAGGUUGGGUAAGAUUCAAACUGAAAAAUAUCCCUUAGAUUAGCAUCAGGGAGGUUGCUAGUAACUUUGAGGGGUGCAGUGUCAGUGGAGAACCAGAGCUGAACCCAGACUCUGUGUGUGUCGGGCUCAGGGGGAAGAGGAGGAAGGGUUGAGGAGUGAGGGACUGGUGCAAAAGUAGACAGCAUUCUUUUUAGGAAAUCUGGGUGUAAAAGGGUGAAGCAUGGGUAUAUAGAAGAACAUAUGGAGUCAAGGAAGGAUUUAAGAUGUAAGAUGGGUCAAUAUUUUAAAAUACAGUUUAGAAAGCAAUAUUAUAUUAGAAAAGGUUAUAGAUAACUUAUCUGGAAAGUCUGGGUUUUAUGCCUUUCAUAUAAACACAAUAUAAGAUGAAGAGGCUAUUCACAACUGAACAAACCAUGAUAAAUUAUACCUUGGAGAGGUGAAAAAACACUCCAGUUAAAAUUUUUUAAAUAUGGGAUACCUGGGUGGCUCAGUCAAUCAAGCUGUGCUGCCUUCAGGUCAGGUCAUGAUCCCAGGGUCCUGGGAUCAAGUCCCACAUUGGGCUCCUUGCUCAGCGGGGAUCCUGCUUCUCUCUCUGCCUCUGCCUCCCACUCUGCCUGCUUGUGCUCUCUCUCUCUCUCUCUGACAAAUAAAUAAAUUAAUUAAAAAAAAAUUUUUUUAUUGUAAAUGACAUUACAUCUGCCCCUUCAUGCAUUUUCAACUGUAUUUGGGUACUUAUGACCUGAGUUGUUUUUUUUUUUUUCAUGAAGUAUAAUUUGAAAAUUUUAAAUGCUUAAAAAUUAUUAUUAAUCAGUUAUAUAUUGAAGUAAAGAGACCAAGUCCUAUUGUUAACUAGUUUUAGAUCACAGACAACUUUGAAAAUGUGAUUAAAAACUAUGGACACCCUCUCUCCAGAAGGGAAGAACUGUUUCUGAUGCUCUUCUAGGGAGAUUGACUGAAAGAAUUUUGAGGCCUACCGACAGACAAGAAGUUAAGUGUAUAACCUUCUUGUGGGAUUUGCUAACAGUAAUCCUCUUUGGACCACUCCUGCCUUCUAGAUAACCAUCAAGUUUAUUCUACUUUCCUUCCUUUUAAUCAUAAUAGAAGUCAUACCCUCCCCCACUAAGGCUCUUGAAUGCCAGUUGUAAAUCCUUUUCCCCUCCCAUUUUUCCCUAUGCUCUAGCUGAUAAAACAAAAAAACUGGGCUUAAAAUACUUUUGCCUACAAAUCCAGGCUCUGUCACUUUCCAAAUCAUGUCAGCCUCAUCUAAGUAUAUAACUCUUUCUGAGCUAGCUCUAUUUUCCGUAUCAGCAUUAUGAAAUAAGUGUUUAUUUCCUCCAGCCCCACUAGGCCCACCCUAGGAAUCAGGUGUCAUUCUUUCUCACAGGAACCCAACCACCUGAUUAGAAACUACCAAGUAAUUUGUCCUCUUGCUUUCCACUUGGAUGAUAAACUCCUUGAAAGUAGGGAGUAGGCCUUCUAUUUCAUUUCUUCUUCCCCACAUUGCUUGUCACAUUUCUGCUUUUAUAACCAUCCCAAGAGUUGCUUUAUUGGUUGAGUACGGAUUUAAAAUCCAGAUCUAAAUUGGGUUUUAGCCUCCAUCUUUCAUGGUCUCUUCUACAUUUCCUAACAACUUUCCUGUAUUUCUCCUCCAGAUGAGAGUGUGAAAUAGAAAUCACAAAUAGCUUUGUUAGUGGCUUAAGGCCUUGUCAAAUAAUUCAUAAGAAUAUCUUCAGGGGUGCCUGAAGCCUCUGCCUUCAGCUCAGGUCAUGAUCCCAGGCUCCUGGGAUCAAGCCCGGCAUCGGCAUCAUCAUCAUCAUCAUCAUCAUCAUCAUCAUCAUUAUCACCACCACCAGCAGCACCAUCACCACCACCAGCAGCAGCAGCAGCAGCACCACCACCACCACCACCACCACCACCGGGCUCUCUGCUCAGCAGGGAGCCUUCUCCACUCCCCCAGCCCCCCGACCCCUGCCUGCCUCUUGUGAUCUCUGUCUGUCAAAUAAUUUUAAAAAUCUUAAAAAAAAAAAAAAAGAGUAUCUUCAUGGAACUCCUUUUUAAAAAUGAAUGCUAUAUUUUACAAAAUCUCAAAUUAAUUCAUUGAUUUUAGAAUUUUCUUUCUUACUGAGCAGCUUUGAAAAUCUGACUCUUACUUUUAUGUAUAAUAACAUUAGUAAACCAUCAAGAGUUAAAAUUUCAAAAUUAUAAGAGUUAUAUAAUUGUACUAUGUUCACUGACAACAGGACUGCUGUUUUUUAGGAAGAGCAGUGUAGAGACACCACCACAAAUAAUAUCUUACAUGAAUAAACACAUAAAAUCUUACAGACAGUAUUAGCUAAAGAAGGUUUGAGAAUGAGGUAAUACAUCAAAAACUUAGUGUAUGAUUGAUUGUACAUAUUAUAAAUUCCCUGCUUCAGCAAAGUUGAGUAUAGAGUUUCUUUCAGUCAGACCUGGAAUUAGGUCUCUCACUCAUGUGGUUUCAAUUAAGUUCUGUCAAAAAUAGCUCGUAAUAUAAGCAUUUUCAUUUUUAGUACUUCAACUUUACUACUUUUAAUCCUUAUAGAGGACAAACUCUGGGGGAAAAAAACAAAGGGAGUUACACAGUAGCCUGGUACUUUGCUCUUUAUAAAUAACUGAAAUCAUUUGUUUAGUGUACAGUCUUUUAAUAUAAGCUAUUUGUUCUUAUUUUACAAUACAAAUACAUAUAUUUAAGAGACAUAUAUAAGAGUGUUUCUUUACUGAUUAAAAGUAAAUUAUAAGAAUCUCAGUAGAAUUUCAUCACUAGGAUAUAUCACAUAUAAUUAGAGAAUUUUGAUUUUUGAAUUAUAUAUAAUUUCAGACAGACAUUCUGCUUUAUGGACUUUGACUUCACAUUCAUGUAUAUCUUCAAAGUGGUGACAAUUUAGCCAUGGCUGCUACAUUCUGCCAUUUGUUUUUAUUAUAAUAUCUGGAGAAAAAUAUAAAACAAUCGAUUAUUUCAUAUACAUCAUAAGAAUGUGACCAAUAAUUAUUAAUAACCAAUUCUUGGGGGCAAAAACUCUUGACACAGGGCACCUGGGUGGCUCAGUGGGUUAAAGCUUCUGCCUUUGGCUCAGGUCAUGAUACCAGGACUCUGGGAUCAAGCCCCACAUCG
ensembl:lincRNA